ACUACUUUGGCAGAUAAGUGCAUUAGAUUUAGGAUCUAAAAAUGAAAUAUGUUUCAGGUAGUA
rnacentral:tRNA from 1 species